CAGUAUGUUCAGCUUGUAAAAGUAGUGUCCUUUUCCAAAUUUUCUCUUCUUUAUGUUGAAGCUGUUACUGUUUGUAGCCAAAAAUUACUUGUUCUCCACCCCCAUUUCAGCACUGUUAUAUCUAUGCUCCUCAACCAUAACUAGCUGAAAUAACUCUAAUCACCUAUUUUUACUGUUUGAGUUAGGGAGGGUUCACAGGACUCAUUUUGCCAGAAGAGCUGAAAUGCUUGCAGAAAGGGAAAAGGGAAAGGGAUACAAAUUCAGAGCUGCAAAAUAGCAGCUGAACACGAUAAUAUCAUCAGCUGGCAGAGGUGGCUGCACUCUGAGCAUCUGUCUAUAGCCUAAAAUGACUGUUUUGUUCAGGGAUUUGUUUGCUUGUUGGUUGGAGUUUUGGUUUGUUAUACUGCAGGAUCACUCCUAACUGCUAAAACAAUUAAGAAAGAAACUUCAGAAAAAGAACACUAAGUCCUAUGGUUUUUAAUUCCCUACUGGGUUUUGGGAAGAAGUAGUUUGUGGCAAACAAGGAAGACAAACCUGGAUCUUUUGCUGCAUCCUUCCUCCUGUUUAAGAAGAUUUGUGAUUCUACAUCUAAAUCCAACAACUUUCCAUGUGGCCCUGCUUGUGUCUACAGAAAUGCCAGAAUCUGCUGCUGCAGACAUGCUGAAAGCAAGCUGAAAGCACCAUGAGCAGAAGAAGGUAUGGGAGCAAAUCCAGUAGAGGAAACAGUUGUUGGAAGAAAGCAAAAGCAGAGAUAAUGCCUCUUGCACAGUUCCCCCACAAAGCAGGACUGUGCCUCACCUGGAGCUCUGUUGGAUUGCUGUGCAGCUGCUCAAAGAGCAGAACCGAGGCAUGUUCUCAGCUUGCUCUUCCUGCCUUGUGGCUUUAAAGCACAGAACACUACCUUACCUCCAACAGCCCUGUCUAACCUGACUCCAAAUGCUCCUCCACCCCCUGGAGCAGGGGACUCACUGAAUCAGGAUAGCCCAGCUUUGGUUUGAGAAAUGCUGCCUCCUCCAAAAAACACCCAGAACAUUUCCAUGGCCACACCAAUCCUGUAGAGGCCUCAACAAAAGGAAAAUCAGACCUGUAAA